GUGUUUGCUUUGGCAGCACACACGCUAAAUAAAAUGAGAACGAUAGAGAAUAUCAACAUGGCCCCUGAGCAAGGAUGACAGGCACACACAUGCAGCAUGCCAUAGGAAU
rnacentral:snRNA from 1 species